rnacentral:lncRNA from 1 species
CUCUCUCCCUCUGAGACAGGAUCUGCUCUCUCACCCAAGCUGGAGUGCAGUGGCGUGAUCAUGGCUCACUGCAGCCUCAACCUCCUGGGCUCAAACGAUCUUCCCACCUCAGCCUCCUGAGUAGCUGGGACUACAGGUGUGCACUACCAUGCCUGGCUAAUUUUUGUAUUUUUUGUAGAGACUGGGUUUUGCCAUGUUGCCCAGGCUGGUUUUGAACUCCCAGGCUCAAGUGAUCCAUCCACCUCAGCCUCCCAAAGUGCUGGGACUGCAGGUGUGAGCCACCACACCUGGCCCUCUUGUCUCUUAAGUCCAUUUAAUCAUGCUUCUACCUGUCACUUCCCUAGUUGAAACUGCUCUUGUCAAUUUCAACACAUUGCUAAAUCCAAUGUGUUCAGUUCUCAUUCUUCAUCUUUUUUUUUUUUUUUUUUUGAGACAGAGUCUUGCUCUGUCACCCAGGCUGGAAUACAGUGGCACGAUCUUGGCCCACUGCAACCUCUGCCUCCUGGGUUCAAGCGAUUCUCCUGCCUCAGCCUCCCGAGUAGUUGGGACUACAGGCACAAGCCACCAAACCCAGCUAAUUUUUGUAUUUUUAGUUGAGACGGCAUUUCACCAUGUUGGCCAGGAUGGUCUCAAUCUCUUGACCUCGUGAUCCGC